rnacentral:misc_RNA from 1 species
UCAGAAGCGCCGAAAGGCUGCUUUAACACCAUCGCGAACCUAUCCAUCAGCGUUGCUUCGGCGGGUUGGGGGCCACCUCUCCGGGGGUGGCGCCGCCCGCCGGAGGUACGAAACUCUUCUGAAUCUUAGUGGAAUCUCUGAGUAAGCAAGCAAAUAAUCA